rnacentral:rRNA from 1 species
UAGGGAAUCUUCGGCAAUGGGGGGAACCCUGACCGAGCAACGCCGCGUGAGUGAAGAAGGUUUUCGGAUCGUAAAGCUCUGUUGUUAAGGAAGAACGAGUGUGAGAAUGGAAAGUUCAUACUGUGACGGUACUUAACCAGAAAGGGACGGCUAACUACGUGCCAGCAGCCGCGGUAAUACGUAGGUCCCGAGCGUUGUCCGGAUUUAUUGGGCGUAAAGCGAGCGCAGGCGGUUAGAAAAGUCUGAAGUGAAAGGCAGUGGCUCAACCAUUGUAGGCUUUGGAAACCGUUUAACUUGAGUGCAGAAGGGGAGAGUGGAAUUCCAUGUGUAGCGGUGAAAUGCGUAGAUAUAUGGAGGAACACCGGUGGCGAAAGCGGCUCUCUGGUCUGUAACUGACGCUGAGGCUCGAAAGCGUGGGGAGCGAACAGGAUUAGAUACCCUGGUAGUCCACGCCGUAAACGAUGAGUGCUAGGUGUUGGGUCCUUUCCGGGGCUCAGUGCCGCAGCUAACGCAUUAAGCACUCCGCCUGGGGAGUACGACCGCAAGGUUG